CACCCUUCCAAUCCAAGCCCAAGGAAGGUUCUAAACCAAUCAAUCUAGCCUCAAAAGCCCUAGAUCAAAAAGACCCAAAAUCAACCCUAAACCUCAUUCUAGGGUUCCAACACAAAGAAAGCCUCAAAUCCAAAGUCUAAAUGGAGAGAAAAGGCUACCAACCUCUAAGAAGCUUCAAUCCAAGCUCAAAGGGUGAAGAUCUCCUCUUGGCAAGCUCCAAGUGCAAGCCUUCAAGCACCAACAAGGUGGGAAGAGGAAAAGAGGCAAAGAAAUGCUCCAAGUCCACCAAAACCUUCUCCUUCUUCUUCUUCUCCUCCUUCUUCUUCUCUUUCUCCUCUCUCUAACGAGGGUGUGGGG
rnacentral:lncRNA from 1 species